rnacentral:rRNA from 1 species
AACGAACGCUGGCGGCAGGCCUAACACAUGCAAGUCGAACGCCCGCAAGGGAGUGGCAGACGGGUGAGUAACGCGUGGGAACGUACCCUUCGGUUCGGAAUAACCCGGGGAAACUCGGGCUAAUACCGGAUACGUCCGCAAGGAGAAAGAUUUAUCGCCGAAGGAUCGGCCCGCGUCGGAUUAGCUAGUUGGUGGGGUAAUGGCCCACCAAGGCGACGAUCCGUAGCUGGUCUGGGAGGAUAAUCAGCCACACUGGGACUGAGACACGGCCCAGACUCCUACGGGAGGCAGCAGUGGGGAAUAUUGGACAAUGGGCGAAAGCCUGAUCCAGCCAUGCCGCGUGAGUGAAGAAGGCCUUAGGGUUGUAAAGCUCUUUCAGCGGGGAAGAUAAUGACGGUACCCGCAGAAGAAGCCCCGGCUAACUUCGUGCCAGCAGCCGCCGUAAG